ACGUACACUCCUACGGGAGGCAGCAGUGGGGAAUAUUGCACAAUGGGCGCAAGCCUGAUGCAGCCAUGCCGCGUGUGUGAAGAAGGCCUUCGGGUUGUAAAGCACUUUCAGCGGGGAGGAAGGCGAUACGGUUAACAACCGUGUUGAUUGACGUUACCCGCAGAAGAAGCACCGGCUAACUCCGUGCCAGCAGCCGCGGUAAUACGGAGGGUGCAAGCGUUAAUCGGAAUUACUGGGCGUAAAGCGCACGCAGGCGGUCUGUCAAGUCGGAUGUGAAAUCCCCGGGCUCAACCUGGGAACUGCAUUCGAAACUGGCAGGCUUGAGUCGUGUAGAGGGGGGUAGAAUUCCAGGUGUAGCGGUGAAAUGCGUAGAGAUCUGGAGGAAUACCGGUGGCGAAGGCGGCCCCCUGGACAAAGACUGACGCUCAGGUGCGAAAGCGUGGGGAGCAAACAGGAUUAGAAACCCGUGUAGUCCCAUGAU
rnacentral:rRNA from 1 species